GCGCUCAUAGCUCAGUCGGUAGAGCAAGUGACUCUUAAUCACUGGGUCCUGGGUUCGAAUCCCCGUGAGCGCACCA
rnacentral:tRNA from 1 species